GACAGAGGGUGCAAACGUUGUUCGGAAUUACUGGGCGUAAAGCGCGUGUAGGCGGCCCUGCAAGUCGGAUGUGAAAUCCCACGGCUCAACCGUGGAAGUGCAUUCGAAACUGCAGGGCUAGAGUCCUGGAGAGGAAGGUGGAAUGCUUGGUGUAGAGGUGAAAUUCGUAGAUAUCAAGCGGAACACCGGUGGCGAAGGCGGCCUUCUGGACAGUGACUGACGCUGAGACGCGAAAAGCGUGGGGGAGCAAACAGGGAUUAAGAAAACCCCUGUAGU
rnacentral:rRNA from 1 species